rnacentral:rRNA from 1 species
UACGAAGGGGGCUAGCGUUGUUCGGAUUUACUGGGCGUAAAGCGCACGUAGGCGGAUCGUUAAGUCGAGGGUGAAAUCCUGGAGCUCAACUCCAGAACUGCCUUCGAUACUGGCGAUCUAGAGUCCGGAAGAGGUGAGUGGAACUCCUAGUGUAGAGGUGGAAUUCGUAGAUAUUAGGAAGAACACCAGUGGCGAAGGCGGCUCACUGGUCCGGUACUGACGCUGAGGUGCGAAAAGCGUGGGGGAGCAAACAGGG